rnacentral:rRNA from 1 species
UACGUAGGCAGCAAGCGUUGUUCGGAAUUACUGGGCGUAAAGAGUGUGUAGGCGGUGCUCUAAGUUUGGUGUGAAAUCUCCCGGCUCAACUGGGAGGGUGCGCCGAAAACUGGAAUGCUUGAACGUGGGAGAGGAAAGCGGAAUUCCUGGUGUAGCGGUGAAAUGCGUAGAUAUCAGGAGGAACACCGGUGGCGAAGGCGGGUCUCUGGGCCGUAACUGACGCUGAGGAGCGAAAGCGUGGGGAGCGAACAGG